rnacentral:rRNA from 3 species
UGCUGGAGGUAUCAGAAGUGCGAAUGCUGACAUAAGUAACGAUAAAGCGGGUGAAAAGCCCGCUCGCCGGAAGACCAAGGGUUCCUGUCCAACGUUAAUCGGGGCAGGGUGAGUCGACCCCUAAGGCGAGGCCGAAAGGCGUAGUCGAUGGGAAACGGGUUAAUAUUCCCGUACUUGGUGUUACUGCGAAGGGGGGACGGAGAAGGCUAUGUUGGCCGGGCGACGGUUGUCCCGGUUUAAGCGUGUAGGCUGGUUUUCCAGGCAAAUCCGGAAAAUCAAGGCUGAGGCGUGACGACGAGGCACUACGGUGCUGAAGCAACAAAUGCCCUGCUUCCAGGAAAAGCCUCUAAGCAUCAGGUAACAUCAAAUCGUACCCCAAACCGACACAGGUGGUCAGGUAGAGAAUACCAAGGCGCUUGAGAGAACUCGGGUGAAGGAACUAGGCAAAAUGGUGCCGUAACUUCGGGAGAAGGCACGCUGACACGUAGGUGAAGUGAUUUACUCAUGGAGCUGAAGUCAGUCGAAGAUACCAGCUGGCUGCAACUGUUUAUUAAAAACACAGCACUGUGCAAACACGAAAGUGGACGUAUACGGUGUGACGCCUGCCCGGUGCCGGAAGGUUAAUUGAUGGGGUCAGCGCAAGCGAAGCUCCUGAUCGAAGCCCCGGUAAACGGCGGCCGUAACUAUAACGGUCCUAAGGUAGCGAAAUUCCUUGUCGGGUAAGUUCCGACCUGCACGAAUGGCGUAAUGAUGGCCAGGCUGUCUCCACCCGAGACUCAGUGAAAUUGAACUCGCUGUGAAGAUGCAGUGUACCCGCGGCAAGACGGAAAGACCCCGUGAACCUUUACUAUAGCUUGACACUGAACAUUGAGCCUUGAUGUGUAGGAUAGGUGGGAGGCUUUGAAGUGUGGACGCCAGUCUGCAUGGAGCCGACCUUGAAAUACCACCCUUUAAUGUUUGAUGUUCUAACGUGGACCCGUAAUCCGGGUUGCGGACAGUGUCUGGUGGGUAGUUUGACUGGGGCGGUCUCCUCCUAAAGAGUAACGGAGGAGCACGAAGGUUGGCUAAUCCUGGUCGGACAUCAGGAGGUUAGUGCAAUGGCAUAAGCCAGCUUGACUGCGAGCGUGACGGCGCGAGCAGGUGCGAAAGCAGGUCAUAGUGAUCCGGUGGUUCUGAAUGGAAGGGCCAUCGCUCAACGGAUAAAAGGUACUCCGGGGAUAACAGGCUGAUACCGCCCAAGAGUUCAUAUCGACGGCGGUGUUUGGCACCUCGAUGUCGGCUCAUCACAUCCUGGGGCUGAAGUAGGUCCCAAGGGUAUGGCUGUUCGCCAUUUAAAGUGGUACGCGAGCUGGGUUUAGAACGUCGUGAGACAGUUCGGUCCCUAUCUGCCGUGGGCGCUGGAGAACUGAGGGGGGCUGCUCCUAGUACGAGAGGACCGGAGUGGACGCAUCACUGGUGUUCGGGUUGUCAUGCCAAUGGCACUGCCCGGUAGCUAAAUGCGGAAGAGAUAAGUGCUGAAAGCAUCUAAGCACGAAACUUGCCCCGAGAUGAGUUCU